UUCCACUUGGCCGGCACCAUGUUUUCUGCUCCCUACUGCACAAGUGGCUGGCAAAGAGAAGGGAAGAUGAAGCCACCAUUUUGAUCAUGCCUAGUCUCAGGGACAGUGCAGUUGCUGGCCUGGAGCAUGCUCGGCUGAGGACCGCUGCUCUGAUGCGUGGAGAAGAAACAUGAAGUCCGCAGCUGCCCACAUUCAGGGAAGAUCUUUGAAAGCUCUUCAGACAGUGCCACCCAUCUUCAUGAAGCUGAUCCCCGGAUCUCACUCGCUUGUUUCUCCUCCUUCACCUGCUGAUGAUCAAUGUAGACUUUAGCCCUCAGAAGCUCUCAAAAGACCCAGAUCUUGUGAACUGUUUUCACAUUUCCCCAUGGAUGCCUAGCAAGGGACUGGGACUGCCUGAUCCGCUUUGGUCAAGAGCACGUGGGUGGCCUGUGUGCAGGCUUAUCAUCAAUAAUUGCAGGACUUGGUGGAGUAUGGUUGAACAGGUGCUCAGACUGCAUGCGUGUCUAGCGAGGCCAUCCUGAAGCUGCAUGGGAGUUGUAAAAAAGUUACCAACAAGUUUUUAGUUAUUUGAAUAGGUUUUUGAAUAGAUUUGGAAUGUGGGAAGCAGUUGCAGAAAUAAACGUCUUAAUGACUAAAUGUAGCUUGCUGUUUUUAGCCCAGUUUCACAGAUCACAACUCUGACCAUACUAGUGGGUAGUUUAUGUGUCUUCUCAUGCGGGGAGAGCCGUUCAACUCACUCCUGAGGCUUAGGCCCAGGUUGGAAGGGGACGGACUCCCAGCUGGGC
rnacentral:lncRNA from 1 species